rnacentral:rRNA from 1 species
CUUUCUUCGCCGGCGACCGGCGCACGGGUGAGUAACACGUAUGCAACCUGCCCCUGUCAGGGGGACAACCCGCCGAAAGGCGGGCUAAACCCGCGUACAUGCCACCGGGGCAUCCCGGAGGCAGGAAAGGCUUCGGCCGGACAGGGAUGGGCAUGCGGCGCAUUAGGCAGUAGGCGGGGUAACGGCCCACCUAACCGACGAUGCGUAGGGGUUCUGAGAGGAAGGUCCCCCACACUGGUACUGAGACACGGACCAGACUCCUACGGGAGGCAGCAG